AGCAUGAAUACACACACACAAGCAGGCAUACAAACAAACAGACAAGCACAUGUAGAUACACACAAUACACAUGCGUACACACAAGCACACACACAAACACAGGAUCACAUGUACAUAUGCAGUCACACAGACACACACAGACAAACACACACAUACAUAAACACAGACUGCUCUCAGAACAUAGCAUAACAGAGAACUAUAAACAAAAGCCACAUGCGUCGGUACAAUCAUACAGUCUUUGCUUCGGCUCCAGAUUCUAAACACUCUUUCAUUGUCUCCCUUUGUUUCAGCCACAACCCUGCAAUUAACAAACAGUGAAACACACACGCAAACAUACACAUACAAACACACACACACACACACACACACACACACACACACACACACACACUCUCACCCAGGCAACCUUCGCCAUGCAAGCUUCAGCCCAGAGUUUUACACUAACUUUUUUAUGUUUCUACACUUUUAUACUUUGCUGCUAAGUUAUAGUGGAAAGGGUGAGUACCGGUAGUUGGUUUUAAAACAUCACUAUCCUAUACUGCCCGACACAUUUCACUCUCACUGAUUCACUGAUGCAUACAAUAUAGCUUCUCAAUGUAGCAUUGUAAUAUAUUCAGCUAUAUUUAUAUCUGGCAUAAGAUAAAAGGAUGCAGACAGAUUUGGAUGAGGUGGUGCUGUAGUUAACACCUACACCACCUUCACUGUUACUUUUAGCAUGCCUACUGCCCUGCAUAUCAGAAAUACUCAGAGAAAGCCCACUCAGAGAAAGAAGCCGUGGGUCCAUAGUCUGUCAUCGCCACAGGGAGUUAUGAAUGAAGGAGAACAGAGUGAGGCGAACCAGACAGUACUGAGGUGGACUGAGGGGUGGUGGGGUGUAGGUGAAGAAGUAAAAAAAAAUAUGAGCUAUGGAGGCUGGUUGCACAUGUGAAAGUCAUUACUCAGAUUCAGCUCUAAUACAACAUUUCUCCGAGAGGGAGGCCCAUCCCCCUCUUGUCCUUCUCUCUCCUUCUCUCCUCUCAUUGCCAGCUCACCGAGUCUCCUCUUUCACUCGAAGAAGGGGAAGAUGGGAGAAAAUGGAUAACCAAAAAUACAGAGAGAUGUGACCUCCCCUGAAAUAGGACCAAUAGGCAUUUUGAGGGCAAAGUUCCAGUCCCAAGACAAAAUCCCAUUUGUUCAGGGAACAGGCGGGUGUGAAGCCACAGUGACAGACCUAGAUGUUGGUAGAAGACGCAAGUCUCUCCCAUUGCUCCCCUGAACCCUACGACUCUCUCCCCUCUUCCCUCUUUUUCUUUUUUAUGCAAACUUUUUUGUCAGAGGGGCCCACUUCCUGUUGCAGAGCCCGAAAAAAAAAUGACAGAAGGCGAUUGGCGCUUGUGCAGAAACAUCUGGAAUUGCUUUAGCUCGGAGAGAGAGAGGGGUGUCAGGGUAGAGAGGGAGCUGAGCGCGUUCUGAUGGGGUAGAAAUAGAAAGUACAGACAAGACACAGAGGAAGAGGAGGGAGCGGAGACUUGUAGAGAGAAAGAGAGAGAGUGAGAGAGAAAGACAGAGGGACAGACAGAGACAGAGGGAGGUGAGCAUGAGAAGAACAACAGAGCUCAGGCUGACCGCCCUGGACAGCAGGGAUGGGGAGUUUAGAAAGUUUGCAAGGGGGUAGCUGGGGGGGAGGGGAGAUUCUGCAUAGUACUCCAGCGUCAAUUCCCCAAGAGUCCCAUCAACCCAUAUAUAGCCACCUCAUUUCCAGCCUACCUCACUCUCUCUCCCUCUCUUUUCACUCGCCCCUAUUUCCUUACGCCUACCCCGAGUGAGAGGACAGACAGAUCCCCAGCAGCUGAAAGUGCAAAUGUGCCACGUCAAGACUGGAUACCGAGCCUGGACCGAGCGGCCUUCUGGACAACACCCCCCCGCCCUUCCAAAGCAGUGGAAGACGUUUCCAGAGGUGGCACGCCGGAACGUCAUACAUCACAGCUGUUACGUCUUCAAGACUAAAGAGAUGAUAUCCUUUCUUCCUUCAGACUAAUGGAUCCUAUAGCAUGCCUGAUAUAUAUAGCAUGCCUGAUCACACACACACACACACACACACACACACACACACACACACACACACACACACACACACACACACACACACACACACACACACACACACACACACACACAUAGAGA